AACGAACGCUGGCGGCAUGCCUAACACAUGCAAGUCGAACGAGACCUUCGGGUCUAGUGGCGCACGGGUGCGUAACGCGUGGGAACCUGCCCUUAGGUUCGGAAUAACUCCCCGAAAGGGGUGCUAAUACCGGAUAAUGUCUUCGGACCAAAGAUUUAUCGCCUUUGGAUGGGCCCGCGUUGGAUUAGCUAGUUGGUAGGGUAAAAGCCUACCAAGGCGACGAUCCAUAGCUGGUCUGAGAGGAUGAUCAGCCACACUGGGACUGAGACACGGCCCAGACUCCUACGAGAGGCAGCAGUGGGGAAUAUUGGACAAUGGGCGAGAGCCUAAUCCAGCAAUGCCGCGUGAGUGAUGAAGGCCUUAGGGUUGUAAAGCUCUUUUAGCCGGGAUGAUAAUGACAGUACCGGGAGAAUAAGCUCCGGCUAACUCCGUG
rnacentral:rRNA from 1 species